GCAAGUCGAACGAGCAGCCGGAUUCUUCGGAAACCGGUGGGCUAGUGGCGCACGGGUGAGUAACACGUUGGUGACCUGCCCCGAAGCGGGGGACAACCACUGGAAACGGUGGCUAAUACAGCAUGUGCUUUAUCAUUGUUUGGUUAAGUAAAACUACGGUGCUUCGGGAGGGGCCUGCGGUCGAUUAGUUAGUUGGUGAGGUAAUGGCUCACCAAGGCGAUGAUCGGUAGGGGGCGUGAGAGCGUGAC
rnacentral:rRNA from 1 species